rnacentral:rRNA from 1 species
GACGAACCGUGCGAACGUUAUUCGGAAUCACUGGGCUUAAAGCGCGUGUAGGCGGGAGGGCACGUCGGUUGUUGAAAUCCCCCGGCUCAACCGGGGAACGGGCACCGAUACGACCGUCCUGGAGGGGGGUAGGGGGAGCUGGAACUUCCGGUGGAGCGGUGAAAUGCGUUGAGAUCGGAAGGAACGCCCGUGGCGAAAGCGAGCUCCUGGACCCUUACUGACGCUGAGACGCGAAAGCCAGGGGA